rnacentral:misc_RNA from 1 species
AAGGAAGAAGGCGAAAAUGCAGAUAUUCGUGAAAACUCUGACCGGUAAAACGAUAACGCUGGAAGUUGAAUCCAGCGAUACCAUCGAUAAUGUUAAAGCUAAGAUACAGGACAAGGAAGGAAUUCCACCGGAUCAGCAAAGAUUGAUCUUUGCUGGAAAACAGCUUGAAGACGGCCGCACCUUGGCCGACUAUAAUAUCCAGAAGGAGUCAACUCUCCACCUUGUCCUCCGUCUUCGGGGCGGCAUGCAGAUCUUCGUUAAAACCCUCACCGGCAAGACCAUA